UUUCUGCUAAGUCGCAAGACGAUGUAUAGGAGCUGACGCCUGCCCGGUGCUGGAAGGUUAAGGGGAUCUGUUAGAGCAAUCGAAGCAGUGAACUUAAGCCCCAGUAAACGGCGGCCGUAACUAUAACGGUCCUAAGGUAGCGAAAUUCCUUGUCGGGUAAGUUCCGACCCGCACGAAAGGCGUAACGAUUUGGGCACUGUCUCAACAACAGACUCGGUGAAAUUGUAAUUCCGGUGAAGAUGCCGGAUACCUGCGACAGGACGGAAAGACCCCAUGGAGCUUUACUGUAGCUUGACAUUGGGUCUUGGUACUACAUGUACAGGAUAGGUGGGAGGCUUUGAAACCAGGACGCCAGUUUUGGCGGAGCCAUCCUUGGGAUACCACCCUUGUAGUACUGGGACUCUAACCAUAGGCCAUGAAUCUGGUCUUGGGACACUGUCAGGUGGGCAGUUUGACUGGGGCGGUCGCCUCCCAAAAGGUAACGGAGGCGCUCAAAGGUUCUCUCAGUACGGUCGGAAAUCGUACGUAGAGUGUAAAGGCAAAAGAGAGCUUGAUUGCAAGACAUACAGGUCGAGCAAGGAUGAAAAUCGGACUUAGUGAUCCGGUGGUUCUGCGUGGAAGGGCCAUCGCUCAACGGAUAAAAGCUACCCUGGGGAUAACAGGCUUAUCUCCCCCAAGAGUCCACAUCGACGGGGAGGUUUGGCACCUCGAUGUCGGCUCAUCACAUCCUGGGGCUGUAGUAGGUCCCAAGGGUUGGGCUGUUCGCCCAUUAAAGUGGUACGCGAGCUGGGUUCAGAACGUCGUGAGACAGUUCGGUCCCUAUCCGUCGCAGGCGUAGGAAAUUUGAGAAGACCUGUCCUUAGUACGAGAGGACCGGGAUGGACGUACCUCUGGUGUACCAGUUGUCCUGCCAAGGGCAUGGCUGGGUAGCUAUGUACGGAAUGGAUAAGCGCUGAAAGCAUCUAAGCGCGAAGCCAACUUCAAGAUAAGAUUUCCCACCGCAAGGGUAAGACCCCAGAAAGACUAUCUGGUUGAUAGGUCGAAGGUGUAAGUGCAGCAAUGUAUUUAGCUUAUCGAUACUAAUAGGUCGAGGACUUGACCAA
rnacentral:rRNA from 1 species